ACACACAGGUCUGGUUUGUAAACAAAGGCAGGCCAGUCUCACUAAUAAUCAAACCUCACAAACCUUAACAGUUUUGUAGACAACCCAGAAGUCUCACUACCCACAAUGCAUCAUGCCAUUUGGUCAUUGAAGAACUUUGCUAAAAGGUUAUGGAGAGAAAUUCUGCUGUUGUGUCCUUGGGCAAGACACUUAACCCACGUUGCCUGCCGGUGGUGGUCGGAGGACCGGUGGCGCCUGUGCUCGGCAGCCUCGCCUCUGUCAGUGCGCCCCAGGGCAGCUGUGGCUACAUCGUAGCUCAUUACCAUUAGUGUGUGAAUGUGUGUGUGAAUGGAUGAAUGAUAAACUGUAGUGUAAAGCACCUUGGAGUCCUUACUCUGAGAGGCGCUAUACAAGGGCGGGUCAUUUAUCAUUUAAAUAGGAUAGAGAAUCGUCUUUUAUUAGGCAUGUUUCCGCCAGAUCUUUACCGUUAUUCGAUCGGACAUUCAUGGCAUACGUCUCCAUUUCACUGGGCUGGCUCAAAAGGGCCACUUUCAGGGCCCUUUCAACUAACUGAAUACAUGCACUUGGAAAUGGUAGAGUUUCUGGGUGGGACCUGUAGUUAUCUCAUGCUGAUUGGUUGUAACUCAGUUGGAAAUAAAUUGGCAGACAUUGCUAAACAAUCGACAUUUGUCAAAUUCAAAGAGUUGCCGGUGAAGCAGAAUGCGAACGAUAAUAAGCAGUGUUGACGCCGCUUUAAAAUCCCAGGUUUCUCAACAUCAAAAUCAACAUAAAAAAACAAAAUGCUGUAGAAAUCCUGCCAACAACACCACUAAAUUGGCCGCAUUCUGGUCUCCUAUAUAGUACCAUAAAAAACUGCGUUUCUUCUAGUUUUUGAAAGCUGUUUUCAUGUCACACAGUUGCUCUUCCUGUCUCCCGAAGAGAUAAAAUUACGGCAUGCUUUGACAGAAUUAAACUUAAAAAAAAAUUUUUUUUUAUGUCUGUGGACACCUUUUGGUGCUGAUCAGACGUUAGUCACAGUGCCAAAAAAAGUUGUGAUUUGCUCCUGUCUUAGCAAAGUCCAGAAAGGGAUAGCUGACCCCUACUGGACAUCGCUGCACUUCUGGAACAAUGCAGGGAGUAAAAUACCAAUUAAGUCACUUGUUUUGACAUAAUAUACAUGGAUAUGAAAUUGCAUCACUGCAGUACACUUUUGUAUUGAAAAUCACAGUGAAACCGUGUGUGAUUUCCUGUCUAGCUAAAGAUCUCCUCAGCUUUGGUAACGCAACUCUAAGUAACAUCCUUGACAAAUAUGUGAGUCCAUCAUGUCUGUUGACAGAGAAUCCACUUUAAGAGAGUGGAUGCACUUAAAGCAAGCUGGGAGAUGUUUGGCGGCCUCCUCUGUGCGUGACCUGAUGAAUGUUGUAAAGACGAGCUGAAGGUCCUUCUUCUGUCCCUCACACUACCUUUAAGCAGCGCUGCAUGUGAGAGAGGAUUUUCACAUUUGAAUAUCACCAAAAACAAGUACAGACCUAGCCUGUCAGACAAUCGGCUCUCAUCGCUAAUGCACAUCAUGCCGUCCCAGUUUACCACAGAAACCUUUGGCCCAAAUCCAUCGGUUGACUUGUGGAUGAAAACAGCUAAUCGCAGGCUGAACCAGGAGAAAAGGAGUAAGCCUGAACCAUCCACAUCCUCUGCUGUGUGUGAACUGGAGGAAGCCAGUCAGGAUAGUGAGGAGGAUGAGAGUCUGUAGGAAUAAAAACAGCAUUUAUGCCAUUUAAAAAAUGUCAGUGCUCUGAAAAAGUCAUUUUGUUAAGUGCUUUAAAAUUUAUUUGAUUUGAUUUUUGUUAUCACAAAAGCAGCAGUUUACACAUUGUGUUUUACAUUCAGACAAUUCAGUCAUGCUAUUUUUAAAUUAGAAGGUUUAAGUUAAGCUGGCUAUGUGUGCCUGUAUUAAAAUAUGUUGCAUCGUCAACACGUUACUCUGUUUUGUUCCUAUUGUGAGUUGGGUUAAGAAUGAAGUGCAUCAACAAAUGUGAGGACCAAGCAUCAACCAUAGGUUCUCCCCUGAGUACCAACCCAAAGAUGUUAUGUGCUCCCCUGACUAUAAUGGAGUCCAUUUGAAGCAAAGACAUUGCGCUGCCGUUCCGUGCCGAUGAUGCUUCCAGUGUGCAGUAGGCACGAGAGGACCUAACCCUAACCUAGCCAUUUUUCCCUGUCACCCCUCCAGAAAUUUCCCAACACUCCUAUAAUGAUGUAUAACUGUCAUUAUACUCAAAGAGGCACAAAACUGAGAAGUGUGUGAAGAAGUGUGUUUAAUUUUAAAAGGACACUGAUACUGUUUGAAUGCUACAAGAUCUUAUAAGUGAUGCAGUCUCUUUAAUAGAUGAACAUUUAACUGUUAAAUCGGUAUAAAUGUGCUUCUGUGUUUUUCAGUGUUGGUGUAGAGUUCAUAGUUGCUCCAAACCUUGUUUAGUUUAGAUCUCUGACCACUUCAAGCUGAAUUCUUGAUUUUCUUCAACAAUUGUAAAAAGAAAUGUCCAGUAAUCACUUCCCCCGUGAGAACAAGGCUACAACCAUGUAAGGUGUUAAUGUGCCAAUUGUGACUGGUGUGUUUGCACCUCCAUUGAUAUGACUGUUAUGGUUGCAUGCCACCUCUAUGCAAAGUACCCAGGUGUCGAUUGCUAAUGGUGUUCCAAAUAGCCAACAUGAAUCUUUUUUAUUAAAUAAUGCCAAAUGCUGUAUAAGGUAUUUUGCUGACAGGCAAACCGGGUUGACUUGACCCUCCUGUCCAAAAAUUGACCAAAUGGUUAAACAUGAAACAAAGAUAUUCCAUUAUCAGUUAACACUUUUCUGUUCAUAACCUUUAUGGACAGGAUUUCUAGGCGCAGCCAAGGUGUGGAGGGCAUCCAUUUUGGUGGCCUGAGAAUCAGGUCUCUGCUUUUUGCAGAUGAUGUGGUCCUGUUGGCUUAAUCUGUCAUGGUCUGCCCUGAUCAUUCCUAAUAACAAUCAAUCGUCUCAGGUUUGUGUUUACAGGUGGGCGUGUCGGAGAGCCAGCUGUGCCUGAGCUCCCUGAUCCGAGGGCCAGGGGUAUUUAAGGAGCGGUGUGACCCAACUCCAGUGCCGGUUGAUACUCUCACCUCGGAACGAACCUACCGUCGCCUGGAGUUGUCUACCGACGUCACAUUGCUCAAGAUCCCCUGGCCUCCGCUCUCCACCGUCCGCCUGUCGUCCUGCCUGCCUCUCAGCCUGCUUCCCAGUCUUGUCCUGGAUCUGAACUCCUGCCAUUCGUCCGUUCCCACCUGGUCCCAAAGACCCAGUCCAUCCUCACCAGUCCUGGUCAUCAAUUAUUGCGGUUCACCCUGUUCCCGUUUGGAGCAGCACCCUUAGUUUACUCACCAUUCUUAAUAAAAAUUAUUGUAUUAUUGUUACUUACACCGUCUCCAUAGUGUGAUUCUUUCAUGUCUUGGGAAAAACAUCUUCCCAUAAACAUGACAUCAUCAGAACGUGAUCUUCAGCUUUCGCUGGAGCGGUUCGCAGCCGAGUGUGAAGCAGCUGGGAUGAGAAUCAGCUCCUCUAAAUCUGAGACCAUGGUCUUGAUUCGGAAAAGGGUAGAAUAUCUUCUCCGGGUCAGGGAUGAGGUCCUGCCCCAAGUGGAGGAGUUUAAGUAUCUCGGGGUCUUGUUCACGAGUGAGGGAAAACUAGAGCGUGAGAUUGACAGGCGGAUUGGUGCUGCAUCUGCAGUGAUGCGGGCGUUGUACCGGUCUGUCGUGGUGAAGAGAGAGCUGAGUCAGAAGGCAAAGCUCUCGAUUUACUGGCCGAUCUACGUUCCUACCCUCACCUAUGGUCAUGAGCUUUGGGUAGUGACCGAAAGAACGAGAUUGCGGAUACAAGCGGCUGAAAUGAGUUUUCUCCGAAGAGUGGCUGGGCUCUCCCUUAGAGAUAGGGUGAGAAGCUCGGUCAUCCGGGAGGGGCUCGGAGUAGACCCGCUGCUCCUCCACAUUGAGAGGAGCCACUUGAGGUGGUUCGGGCAUCUGGUCAGGAUGCCUCCUGGACGCCUCCUUGGUGAGGUUUUCCAGGCAAGUCCAACCAGGAGGAGACCUAAAGGUAGACCCAGGACAUGGUGGAGGGACUAUGUCUCUCAGCUAGCAGGGAACGUCUUGGGAUUUCCCCGGAGGAGCUGGCCCAAGUGGCUGGGGAGAGGGAAGUCUGGGCCUCUCGACUUACGCUACUGCCCCCGCGACCCGACUCUGGAUGAGCGGAAAAAAAUGGAUGGAUGGAUGGAUGGAUGGAAUAUGUGACGGAUGACACCAGUUACUACUUUGCCAAAUUUUUUUUCGAUAGUAUCUGUAAGAUUGACUUAGUCGUAGCCAUUUUUUGUGUUUGCUAAGAUCAGUUACGCAGUCCUCUUGAAUGAGAAUGAAUUUACAAAGUCGAUCAGCAAUGGAGUAAAUCUAUGAAGGGACAGCAGUGGCUCAGGAGGUAGAGUGCGUUGUCUAAUAAUCGGAAGGUUGUAGGUUUGAUCCCGGCUCCCGCCGGAGAAUGCUGUUGUGUCCUUGGGCAAGACACUUAACCUACUUUGCCUGCUGGUGGUGGUCGGAGGCACUGGUGGCGUCAGUGUUCGGCAGUCUCACUUCCGACAGUGCGCCCCAGGGCAGCUGUGGCUACAUUGUAGCUCAUCAUCACCAGUGUGUGAAUGGGUGAAUGACUGAUUGUGUUGUGAAGCGCCUUGGGUGAACCCUAAGAUGGCGCUUUACAAAUACAGGUCAUUUACCAAGAUUUUCUGAGUGGAGAUGUAUUGCAGAUAUCCAUAAUGUUGUUGCCUUUUUAAAAAGGAGACAAAGCAUUUCAGAUAUGAAAUAGGGCUUUAAUCCUAUUAACAAUCAGUAUUUCAGACAUCACAAAUGUCAUUCAUUUUUGGACAAAUGUCACAUUUUUCAUAUAUAAAUAUGAAAUUUGAAACUCUACAUAGCUAUAAAAUCUAAUCUUCCUUUCUUUAAAUAACAUUUCAGAUCACGUCAGAUUGUUUUAAACUAUUGAUAAUGUUAAUUUUCCAUAAAAAUAAUUAUCUGUAGCUGAAAUAAACACAAAGGGUAAAAAAUGUUAAAUGGAAAGAAUCUUAUGUGUUCAUUGUUCAGUAGAAAUAAUGGCAAUCAGGUAAUCAGAAAUUUAGGAUGUCUGCUUUAAAAUCGUGUUUAACUUUUAUAUGGCAAAUUUGCUUGCUAUAUAAGUCACACAACACUAGCUGUAAACACAGGAAUCAGAUUUAUGCCACAAUGAAACCCUCAUUAAUCAUUUAUGUUUAAAUGUUGCUCAGAUUCAACAUGGUUUACCCUAACUCAUACUUACAUGUGAUCUCACCUUCCUUCCUGUCAUUGCCCCCGUUCACCUCGUUGUCCUUUGCCUUUGUUGACAAUGAGGGUGUGUUUCUCCAUGUUUGUGUGUGUGGGUGAGUGUGUGACGCCUGGAAACCUCCAAAACUCAUUUCAGUUGUUCCCGCCUCAACCUCCUUUCAUGGUGAUUUCCGUUUGAAUCAGGGCCAGCAUUAACAAACUUGGGAGCCCUUCCUGUAGUGUGUGUGUGUCAAUGUGUGUUUGACUCAUUUUGAGAGUCUUCCUGAUAAGAUUAACCUUUUGUUUUGUUGUUUAUUUUCAAAGGGACUUCCCGGUUUUUCCUCCUGUAAUGAAUUUACUGUAAGCGUGUCGCUAAAACAAUAAUGACUGUAAGUUUCCCAACAAAAAAGGGAGGAUAUUCAAAACAAGAACCGUGAUAUAAAACAUUUAUCAAGUUUUCUGGUUGAACAUUUUUACCUUAACGGCCUUUCCAGCCAGACCAUUAUCCAAAUUUCAAAAUUGUUAAAAAAAAACUUCAAGCUUGAUAGACUUAGAUCAAUUACAGUAUUUAGCAGUUUGGAUGUUGUGAUGAUGUUUUACAAUGAAUGCUUUUUAUUUUACAGCUGGUAUUCAUCUGUAGAGUUUGGGUCAUAGCUCUGAUGCAGGAAUCAGUUUCAGUUCAAUUCAAUUCAAGUUUAUUUAUGUAGCGCGAAAUCACGACAAGAGUCGUCUCAAAGCACUUCACAUAAUAAACAUUCCAAUUCACAGUUCAUUAAGCCAAUCAGAAAUAAUGUUUCCUAUAUAAGGAACCCAGCAAAUUGCAUUUACAGCAAUCCUCAUACUAAGCAAGCAUAUAGCGAAUGUGGAGAGGAAAACUCUCUUUUAACAGGAAGAAACCUCUAGAGAAUCCCGGCUCAGUAUAAGCAGCCAUCCUCCACGACUCACUGGGGAUCGAGAAGACAGAGUACACACACACACACACACACACACACACACACACACACACACACACACACACACACACACACACACACACACACACACACACACACACACACACACACACACACACACACACACACACACACACACACACGCACGCACGCACGCACG